AGAGUUUGAUCAUGGCUCAGAAUGAACGCUGGCGGCGUGCUAACAACAUGCAAGUCGUACGAGAAAUCCCGAGCUUGCUUGGGAGAGUAAAGUGGCGCACGGGUGAGUAACGCGUGGGUAACCCACUUUCGAAUCUGGGAUAACUCCGCGAAAGCGGUGCUAAUACCGGAUAAGACCACAGCCGUUUCGGCGGCAGAGGUAAAAGCUGACCUCUCCAUGGAAGUUAGCGUUCGAAGACGGGCCCGCGUCCUAUCAGCUUGUUGGUGGGGUAAAGGCCUACCAAGGCAGCGACGGGUAGCUGGUCUGAGAGGAUGAUCAGCCACACUGGAACUGGAACACGGUCCAGACUCCUACGGGAGGCAGCAGUGAGGAAUUUUGCGCAAUGGGGGAAACCCUGACGCAGCAACGCCGCGUGGGUGAAGAAGGCUUUCGGGUCGUAAAGCCCUGUCAGGUGGGAAGAAACUCUUCAGUACUAAUAAUGCUGAAGCCUGACGGUACCACCAGAGGAAGCACCGGCCAACUCCGUGCCAGCAGCCGCGGUAAUACGGAGGGUGCAAGCGUUGUUCGGAAUUAUUGGGCGUAAAGAGCGUAUAGGCGGCUUGGUAAGUCAGAUGUGAAAGCCCUGGGCUCAACCCAGGAAGUGCAUUUGAAACUACCAGACUUGAGUACGGGAGAGGAGGGGGGAAUUCCCGGUGUAGAGGUGAAAUUCGUAGAUAUCGGGAGGAAUACCGGUGGCGAAGGCGCCCCUCUGGACCGAUACUGACGCUGAGACGCGAAAGCGUGGGGAGCAAACAGGAUUAGAUACCCUGGUAGUCCACGCCGUAAACGAUGAGCACUAGGUGUAGCGGGUAUUGACCUCUGCUGUGCCGUAGCUAACGCAUUAAGUGCUCCGCCUGGGGACUACGGUCGCAAGACUAAAACUCAAAUGAAUUGACGG
rnacentral:rRNA from 1 species